rnacentral:miRNA from 1 species
CGCUCCUCCUCCCACCCCGCCUGCUCGGCGGCAGAGGCGGCGGUAGCGGCAGCGGUUGUUCUUGCCUCUCCGCCACCUCCACCGCCGCCUGU